GCCCUGAUUCUACACUGUGCAUGGAAAUACAUUGAUUUUGCAUCACCACACUUAAUCUGCAGUGCCCUGAAUUUCUGACUUAGAACUUUCUCCUCCACAAGGUUGUGGUGAUAGAAAUCCUGGAAAAGUUUUUUCUCUUCCUAUAUCCACUCUUGAUUCAUAGGUUCUGAGGCCAGCCUGUUUUGUGUAAUUUUUAACAUUUCUCUGGUUUGCUGGAU
rnacentral:lncRNA from 1 species